rnacentral:rRNA from 1 species
UACAGAGGGUGCAAGCGUUGCUCGGAAUCAUUGGGCGUAAAGGGUAGGUAGGUGGUCUCAUUUGUCUGGGGUGAAAGCCUCGAGCUUAACUCGAGAAGUGCCCCGGAAACGGUGAGACUGGAGUCUUGGAGAGGGUCGUGGAAUUCCCGGUGUAGCGGUGAAAUGCGUAGAGAUCGGGAGGAACACCUGUGGCGAAGGCGGCCCCCUGGGCCGGCCCUGACACUGAGACGCGAAGGCGUGGGGAGCGAACGGG